rfam:Salmo salar isolate Sally breed double haploid chromosome ssa11, whole genome shotgun sequence.
UAUGCACUCUACUGUAAGUCGCUCUGGAUAAGAGCGUCUGCUAAAUGACUUACU